AAAAAGGUGAUGACGAAGACGGAGGCAGGAAAGUUCUCCAGAGAGUCGGUGGAAGCUGUGAACCGAUGCUCUUUCCUGUCAUGCCCAGCCCUUCAGAACCGGUCCGCAGAAACAUACAGCAGUAUGCGGACACGGCGAAAGCCGUUAUCCUUCCCGAGGUUACUUUUAUCAUUCCAGUAACAAACGAGGGUGGCACCACGUAAAACCACGUCCCUCAU
rnacentral:ncRNA from 1 species